rnacentral:rRNA from 1 species
GAUGAACGCUAGCGGCAGGCCUAAUACAUGCAAGUCGAACGGUGUAGCAAUAAACAGUGGCGCACGGGUGCGUAACACGUAUGCAACCUACCUUACAUUGGGGGAUAGCCUUUCGAAAGGAGAUUAAUACCGCAUAAGACAGUAACUAGGCAUCUAGUAGCUGUUAAAGAUUUAUCGAUGUAAGCUGGGCAUGCGUCCAAUUAGUUAGUUGGCGAGGUAAUGGCUCACCAAGACGAUGAUUGGUAGGGGAACUGAGAGGUCGAUCCCCCACACUGGCACUGAGAUACGGGCCAGACUCCUACGGGAGGCAGCAGUAGGGAAUAUUGGGCAAUGGGCGCAAGCCUGACCCAGCCAUGCCGCGUGCAGGAAGAAGGCGUUAUGCGUUGUAAACUGCUUUUAUACAGGAAGAAACGACCCUUGCGAGGGGCAUUGACGGUACUGUAUGAAUAAGCACCGGCUAACUCCGUGCCAGCCGCCGCUGUAACAC